rnacentral:rRNA from 1 species
UACGGGGGGGGCAAGCGUUGUUCGGAAUUACUGGGCGUAAAGGGCUCGUAGGUGGCCAACUAAGUCAGACGUGAAAUCCCUCAGCUUAACUGGGGAACUGCGUCUGAUACUGGAUGGCUUGAGUUUGGGAGAGGGAUGCGGAAUUCCAGGUGUAGCGGUGAAAUGCGUAGAUAUCUGGAGGAACACCAAUGGCGAAGGCAGCUUCUUGGUCCAUAACUGACGCUCAUGCACGAAAGCGUGGGGAGCAAACAGG